CCCUUAGAUGUUCUGGGCCGCACGCGCGCUACACUGACGAAGUCAGCGAGCAUCUCCUACGCCGAAAGGUGCGGGGAAUCUUGUGAAACUUUGUCGUGCUGGGGAUUGAUUUUUGAAAUUCUUGAUCAUCAACGAGGAAUUCCUAGUAAGCGCAAGUCAGCAGCCUGCGUUGAUUACGUCCCUGCCCUUUGUACACACCGCCCGUCGCUACUACCGAUUGAAUGGUUUAGUGAGAUUUUUGGACUGGAACUCUCUUGUUCAGCAAUGAACGAGAGGGACUCUGGGAAGCUAUUCUAACUGUAUCAUUUAGAGGAAGUAAAAGUCGUAACA
rnacentral:rRNA from 1 species